rnacentral:lncRNA from 1 species
AAUUACAACUGCCAAAAAUUUUUUUAUAACUGUAGUAUUUUCUACUGCAUCAAACUAAAUAACAUUCAUAUAAUUAAAUAACAUACAUAUAAUUAUAAUUAUAAUUGAUGUAUUUCUAAUUACAUAUAUUUCUGACUGUACUGUAUUUAUAAUUACAUUUAUAAUUCCGCCGAACCAGAAAACCCUUAAACAUAGACAUUGCACUAGCAUUU